rnacentral:lncRNA from 1 species
UUUACCCUCUUGAUAGAAAAGACUUUCUAACAACAUGUUAUUAGGUUUGUCUCUCAAGGGGAACCCAAGUUGACGACGAGCCAAAGCAAGGUUGUAGUUAAUUCCUCAUUGUGUACCAAUGAGAGGUACAUUAGAGAAUUCACCAUAAUAAUCAAUAAUCUCCAAACUGCUCAAAGAAGGAUCAUACCAAACUAUAUCAUCAUUAGUGAGAGACAUAAGUCUCUGAGAC